UACGGGAGGCAGCAGUGGGGAAUAUUGCACAAUGGGCGCAAGCCUGAUGCAGCCAUGCCGCGUGUAUGAAGAAGGCCUUCGGGUUGUAAAGUACUUUCAGUCGUGAGGAAGGUGUUAAGGUUAAUAACCUUAGCAAUUGACGUUAGCGACAGAAGAAGCACCGGCUAACUCCGUGCCAGCAGCCGCGGUAAUACGGAGGGUGCGAGCGUUAAUCGGAAUUACUGGGCGUAAAGGGCACGCAGGCGGUUAAUUAAGUUGGAUGUGAAAUCCCCGGGCUUAACCUGGGAAUGGCAUUCAAGACUGGUUAGCUAGAGUCUUGUAGAGGGGGUAGAAUUCCAUGUGUAGCGGUGAAAUGCGUAGAGAUGUGGAGGAAUACCGGUGGCGAAGGCGGCCCCUGGGACAAAGACUGACGCUCAUGUGCGAAAGCGUGGGGAGCAAACGAGGAUUAGAUACC
rnacentral:rRNA from 1 species